AGCAGCGCCACGGUAAUACGUAGGGUGCGAGCGUUAAUCGGAAUUACUGGGCGUAAAGCGUGCGCAGGCGGUUAUGUAAGACAGAUGUGAAAUCCCCAGGCUCAACCUGGGAACUGCAUUUGUGACUGCAUGGCUAGGGUACGGUAGAGGGGGAUGGAAUUCCGCGUGUAGCAGUGAAAUGCGUAGAUAUGCGGAGGAACACCGAUGGCGAAGGCAAUCCCCUGGACCUGUACUGACGCUCAUGCACGAAAGCGUGGGGAGCAAACAGGAUUAGAGACCCCCGUAGUCCCUGUCUCUUAUACC
rnacentral:rRNA from 1 species